GUCCCCGGGGGGCUCCGGGCUCCUCUAGGGCCUCGCCGGGGACACGAGGAAAACGACCUUCUUUUCCCUUGCAGCGGCGGGGGAGGGCGAAGUGGAGGACCGCUGCUCGGUUCCGUAUCCAAAGGGACCCAAGGCUACAGGCAAAAUAGAUUGGACAUUUUCACUUUCUCAAGCCAGGGCCACCGGUCUCCCAACCAGCAGCCACUGAGGGUGGUAUCGGGGCGCCCCUUCCCCUGGCGGCGUAUUUCAGCCCCCAGAAACAUCCCUCACCUCGGCCAUCCCCAGCGCCUUUGCAGGGACAACAGCACAACCAUAGCAGAGGUCUUGGACACCCUGGGAAUAAUGUGCUGGUGUAAAUGCUGGAUUGAGAAAUGAAAAAGCAUUUGGGAUCAAUUUGGGGCCCUCUCGUUUGACACGGGAGGAAACACCAGGCCGCAGCGUUGGGGGAAGCUGCUUCCUUUCUCUUCUUUCUCUUUCUCUCUCAGGUGCUUCCUUUCUCUCUUUCUGUCUCUCUCUCUCCCUCCUUGUGGCUAGGUGAUCUGGCUCAGACUCUCUCUCGCUCUUUCUCUCUCUCAGGUGCUUCCUUUCUCUCUCUCUUCUCUCUCUGUCUGUCUCUCUUCCUCCUUGUGGUUAGGUGAUCUGGCUCAAGUGCACGUUGGUCCGCGCCUGCGGGGAGCUGAAAAGCAAAAGACUGGACCUUUGCAAGUGUCAAGCAAGGUUUGACCUGCUUUGAAGACAGUGAUUUCAGAGCCACUCCGGUCUCUGCGUCACAAGCAAGCAUCAUGGCAGUGGUGGGGCGGCAGGUGAUCCUGAGACCGCCUAUGCCAUUUCUCUGGCUCCGGUGCUUCUGGCCUCUCCCUUCAGAAGACAGCACUUGUGCCUGGCAGUGUGUGAGUUCAGAGGCAAACUGUCCGAACCAUCACCCAAAUCUGACGCGAAUGGAACAACUAUGUUAAACAGAAGCACAAGAUCACGACCAGCAACAUCAAAAUAAACCAUCUUCUGGAAAUACUUUUAUAAUACUACAAAAAUUAAAAGAAAUCCUCUAAUUUACAUGUGUGCUUUCUAUGCUACUAGGCUAAGUUCAUGGACAGUCAGGAUUUAUUUUUUACAGGUUGUAUAGGACGCUCAUUGUACAAUGAUGGAAAACAGCCUGGCCCACAUGACAAAACCUCCACCAAAAGUAUAAAAUCAGCCCGGUGCGAUGCUGCGUGCCUGGAGUCCUAGCUACUCCUCGGGAGGCUGAGGUGGGAGGAUUGCUUCAGCCUUGGAAGGCUGUAGUGAACCAUGAUCGCACCAUUGCACUACAGCCUGGGCAACAGUGUGAGACCUUGUCUUAAAAAUAGUAAGAAUAAAAAUUAAAAAUAAAGGGAUGAAAACAGAGUAUAUGAAAACAAAGCUUCCCGUAUGAUGCCCUGCAUCUGUUGACAUUUUCUUGUCCUUGCGAGAGUCUUCCUACCACUCCAUGAAUCAAGACCUCUAGCAUGGCUUAAACACUAAGUGGUCACAUAGCUAACCCCAGACAGGCUUAGAAGAUAAACCAAGAAGACACCUUCUUUGGGGGAAAUAAAGUACCCACUAGGAAGGAAUCGUCUUAUUCCUUGCCUGGAGCAAGCCCAGACUUUAAGAUCUGAUGCUCAGGGUUCGGGCAGCCAGCCUGGUUACCUGUCUCUUUGAAUAUCUUCUCAUCUGGGGGGACGACAGAGCAGAGGCUGUUGAGGACCAGGGUCCCCAGUUUCAGCGCGUUCUUCUCUGAGCUCUUGUAGUAAUCCAGGGAAUUGUGGGUGAGUACAAACCACCGUUUCUUCAGUUUCAGUGAAGACAUCUUUGGACUGUUCUUCACCUCUUUGUGCAACCAUCCUGGAAAAAAAGAUGAAAGUGUAAGUGAAAAUCUACAAGGAGAAACCCCAAAGACCAUAUACCAUCAUCCACAUAAUGCCAACACAUGGAUGGGUUUCUAGCUACUUGCCAGAAAAAGACCACGGUCACCCCAACUCGAUGUAAAUGGAACUACGUGAAAGAAAAGCACAAAAUCACAACUAGCAACAAAAACACAAUCCUCUAGAAACAAUUUAUAAUGUCACAAAUUAAAAAUCACUUAAAAAAUCUCCAACAGUCAAAAUGGGAAAAGCAGCUCAAAAUGAAAAUGCUGCAGAUAUCUAUAUGUAAAUGGAAAGGGGAGCCUGUUAAACAGACCAAGGAAGCAGGGCAGGCAGUCACCUCUCACGAUGAAUUCCUGGCCCUCCACUCUGGUGUCCCCUUUGGACCUCUGCAGCAGGGUUAUCCAGUGGUGCAUCUCCUCCGGCGUGUCGGCGUUGCAGUGCAGCACCCGGUUGGCCGUGAUGAUCACAAACGAGUUGGGUCUGAGCGACAAGGUGAGAAGGAAACAAGGCCCCUUAGCUCUACCGUCAGCAUCACCUCUGUGUGAACCGCGACUCGGUGCCUUCUUCCUGCCUUCUGGGUCACGGGAUAUACACUGCUAGGCUUAUUCAUGUUUUUACUAAGGCAAACCUUGCUCAUUUCUGCAGAAUUUCUUUUACGCAUCAUUAACCUUUAAACUUGGAACGACACAUUCAUUCUGAAGGUCCUGGAAGGGAAAACAUUUCUUCAUGCAAAACUUUCCAGAUGAAACUCAGUUCCGGGAAGGCUAAAUAAGUUGGAAAGGGAGAAAAGUGGCCAGUUGAGGAAGACAGAAAAGCCUGAAAGAGGAUGCGAAAUUCUAAGGAUGGAUCAUCACAUGCCCAGCCUGGAGGAGUGAAGGGCUUGGGAGAGCAAAGAUGUGGAGAAGACGCCCCAGCCCCAUCCUAGGCAGCGCUCCCAUACCACAGCAUUCUGUGGGUUUGCCUGCUCAUCAUGCAUCUCCUGGAUCUCCUGGUCUGUGGACGCAUGGACCUGACUCAGCACGCUGAACCACUGGCUGUGGGGAAGAGAGAACAACUGUGAAGGAGAGGCCAACCUCGUACUGGCAAAGCAAUAGUGCCCUACUGCACGUCAUCUGUGAAAAUAACAUCUUGAAGCACCUUUGCUUUUAAUUUCAUUACUUCUUAGGGCUAAAUGUCGGUUUCAUUACCAAAGAAUAAAGUGAGAAGCAGCAGAUAAAGUACCUGUAAAUGCCUUUAAG